CGAACUCUGGUAUUGAUUGGUGCUUGCAUCAUGAUUUACAUUUGAGUGAGUGGCGAACUGGUGAGUAACACGUGGGAAACCUGCCCAGAAGCGGGGGAUAACACCUGGAAACAGAUGCUAAUACCGCAUAACAACUUGAACCGCAUGGUCCUAGUUUGAAAGAUGGCUUCGGCUAUCACUUUUGGAUGGUCCCGCGGCGUAUUAGCUAGAUGGUGGGGUAACGGCUCACCAUGGCAAUGAUACGUAGCCGACCUGAGAGGGUAAUCGGCCACAUUGGGACUGAGACACGGCCCAAACUCCUACGGGAGGCAGCAGUAGGGAAUCUUCCACAAUGGACGAAAGUCUGAUGGAGCAACGCCGCGUGAGUGAAGAAGGGUUUCGGCUCGUAAAACUCUGUUGUUAAAGAAGAACAUAUCUGAGAGUAACUGUUCAGGUAUUGACGGUAUUUAACCAGAAAGCCAGCGCUAACUACGUGCCAACCCGCGGUAAUACGUAAGUGGCAAGCCUUCCCCUAAUCUCUGUCCCACCUUAGGCGGCUGGUUCCUAAAAGGUUACCCCACCGACUUUGGGUGUUACAAACUCUCAUGGUGUGACGGGCGGUGUGUACAAGGCCCGGGAACGUAUUCGUAGCAAACAGGAUUAGAUACCCUGGUAGUCCAUACCGUAAACGAUGAAUGCUAAGUGUUGGAGGGUUUCCGCCCUUCAGUGCUGCAGCUAACGCAUUAAGCAUUCCGCCUGGGGAGUACGGCCGCAAGGCUGAAACUCAAAGGAAUUGACGGGGGCCCGCUGUUGCGGUGGAGCAUGUGGUUUAAUUGGAAGCUACGCGAAGAACCUUACCAGGUCUUGACAUACUAUGCAAAUCUAAGAGAUUAGACGUUCCCUUGGGGGACAUGGAUACAGGUGGUGCAUGGUUGUCGUCAGCUGGUGUCGUGAGAUGUUGGGUUAAGUCCCGCAACGAGCGCAACCCUUAUUAUCAGUUGCCAGCAUUAAGUUGGGCACUCUGGUGAGACUGCCGGUGACAAACCGGAGGAAGGUGGGGAUGACGUCAAAUCAUCAUGCCCCUUAUGACCUGGGCUACACACGUGCUACAAUGGAUGGUACAACGAGUUGCGAACUCGCGAGAGUAAGCUAAUCUCUUAAAGCCAUUGUCAGUUCGGAUAGUAGGGUGCAACUCGCGUACAUGAAGUCGGAAUCGCUAGUAAUCGCGGAUCAGCAUGCCGCGGUGAAUACGUUCCCGGGCCUUGUACACACCGCCCGUCACACCAUGAGAGUUUGUAACACCCAAAGUCGGUGGGGUAACCUUUUAGGAACCAGCCGCCUAAGGUGGGACAGAUGAUUAGGGUGAAGUCGUAACAAGGUAGCCGUAGGAGAACCUGCGGCUGGAUCACCUCCU
rnacentral:rRNA from 2 species